UCGGGCACCCAUUGGCUGAGGCGGGCGGAGGCGGAUAUCGAACGUCGCUGUUUGUGUUCAAACGUUCCAGCGGGAGGUGGGGCGAAGGGCGCUCUCCGCUUGGGAGGCCGGCGAGUCGUGGCUGCGGGGCAACGCGCGUGGCCCGAGCGCGCUCCUACCAUGGUGCCCUCGCGGUGCGUGAAAAGCGAGUACAUGAAGCGCUUCAAGGAACCGAAAUGGGAGGCGUGCGGCCCCUGCUACCAGGAGCUGCUGCGCUACCGCUUGAGCCGGCGCAUCUUGGAGCAGACGCACCGGCCUUGGUUCUGGGACGGCUGGGAGCAGGACAGCAGCCUCAGCAGCGGCAGCGCGGGCUCCUCGUCGCCCCCGGGCGCUUCUAGCCCCCAGGCUGCCCAGCAGCGAGAGGAGGAAGCCGCGGUCACCCCUGGGAAAGCGGAGGCGCCCGGAGAGCCGGGACAGGACAGGACCGGUGGAUCUGCGGAAGCUGGAAUAUACAGCCCGGUCGGACCUUUGCGCGGAUCUGAUGAAGAAGCUCAAGAAAAAGCUGAAGAAAAGCCUGAGGUUGACCAAGAGGAAAGGAAGCCGGCAGUGAAAGAGCCUGACAAGUCAACUAGUCAAGCACAGCGACUCCCUGCAGGUCGGAGUGUUUUAGGUGGACGUACUGACAGAAGACGGCUGAAAAGUCCUCAAAAGACAGAUACGACAAAGGAAAUACGACACCCAUUUGCUUUGUACGCCUGGGGGGAAAAACAGACUGACACAGGCAAUCAGAAGACACACAAUGUCUGUGCAUCUGCUUCAGAGAAUGAAAUUCAUGAGUCUGCGUUAAGAGCAAAGAACAAAAGGCAAGUGGAGAAAAGGAAGCUGUCCCAGAGACAGAUUCGUUCAACAGAGGUCGAGAGAAACUGGAGAGCGAAACCAUCUGGACCAGACAAUCCCUGGAUGACUGAAUACAUGAGGUGUUACUCGGCACGAGCCCGGUGAUUCAAAACUUGAGCGGACCCCACCUUUUUGUUUUAAUUUCAGAAAUAGUACUGGGAAACAACUAUGACACUGCAGCAAAGUUCCAAACUACCUAUGCAAGAUUUUUACAAAAGGAUUUUUUAUUAGGUAGUUUGUUACAUUUGUUUAUAUUUUGGCUAUUUAUAUUGGCUGUAGUGCAAAGAACUGGUACCAUACUGAUGGACGGGAAUGGGAACUUUGUUUGCUAGUAGAGAUUCCCUCUUACCUUUUUCAAAAACAUGUGGGCCAAGAAAUUUGCCCGUGGACCUUCAGGUGACAAGCUAUAAAAGGUUGUACAGUGAACUGUUUUAUUCAAAGAACUCAGAAGGGAUUCCUUUACAAAUGUUUAAAUCUUUGUUGAUUACUGAACUCGUCAGUUCUAAUCCACAGAAAUUUGGUUUCCAUAAUGACACACUGUGAGUUAGUUACAAUUAAAAAUGUUCUUGGUUUUGAGGGCCAGGGACAUUUUAAAAAUCAGGUAUGUAAACACCAUUAUGUUUUCUAAUUAUUUUAAUUAACUUGCAGUGGUUUGUCUGGGUCAGUGCAACUUGUGACCUCACAAGCCAAAAGAUACCCCUGAGCCAUUGAGUGUGGCUGUCUAGAUGUUACAUCCCAGCUCUCAUCAGCACUGCCAGCAUAGCUGGUAAUGAAUGAAUGAUGUUGGGAGUCAUAGCCCAGUAACACCUAGAGGGUCACAUUUCCCCAUUCUUGCUCCAUGGAGUCCACUCUUGAGCCUCUGUAACUCUGCUGUUGCAAGUCAUCCCGAGUCUGCAAAAAUGGGGGAGUGAUGGUUGGCAAGUCUUAAGCUGUGGAGGCCUGAGUAUGCAGGUUAUUAUACAGCUGUCUGUAAAGUGUUAGAGAUCUGAAAAUGUUGGGGGGAUUUACAGAAAAUUCUCUCCAGUUUUUGUUAAAUAUAUGUGACAUAUUCAGGUUUACAUUCCAGUUGUGGAUUUCGUGGCCAUCUGGAAUUGAAGAUUUUGGUGCAAUAGUGGAAAACUACCAUCCAAAUUCAUCAGUGCAUAAGCUUUCUUUUAGAGGUAAAGAUGAAGGAGAGUGAGUAGAACUACUUGGCUGAGCAAAUCUUAAAAUUGUGGGCACUGUCACAAAAUGAAUGGAAUGCUUUGUAAUAAUUCUCUCCUUGGAAGCAUGGAAACCUGCAUCAUCUCUUUGUGUCUUCAAUAAAUCUGGAUCAGUAUACCCUUCAUUUGCCGAAUGCACAAUACACCCAAAUGCACCAAUGACACUUUGCAGUUUCAGCACAGUUGGAGUUUCUGCCAAUUUGACAAAUUCUUUCUCAUAUUAAUAUGUGAGACUGUAAAAUAACAUUCUGCAAUACUUCAGUGUUUGUAGUUUCACAUGUACCUCAUAGCAUGAUCAAAUGACUUUAAUGGCAGCUAUCACAGGUGAAAAUUUAGAUUUCUCUCUUAAAAUAAGAGAGCUAAUGCCCAACAUAUUUGUAUUUAGGUCCUCCGCUCCCCCAAACAUCUUGGCUAGAGAGGGGGAUGCUUUUAAAGAUAACAACCAGCUAACCUCUCUACUCAUAGACACCAACCAAUCUUCUCAGUAGUAGACUACCUAGCUGCGCAACUAUAGCUUACUGCUGUAUAGAGUUGUGCCUUGGAUUGGAACAUCAACCUGACAACAGUAUUAAAGAAUUAAAAUGGAGCAUCUCAGAUGUCAUCUAAAACUGACCAGCAGGGAAGAAAGUAAUGUAACUUCCUAUGGUUGGCACAAGAAUGUUAGUAUUAACACUGCCAAACUUCUGCUGGUUGGUUGAAAAUGACUCUGGUUGAAACUAUUUCCUGGAAAUUUGUCCCCUUAGCUCUCAUACUCCUGCAAGGGCCUUUGCCCUAUUUCUUCGAGAUUUUAAGCAAUAAAUAUUACUGAGAACCAUUUCUGUACAAGACUGGCACUUAAGAGGGUUUCUGUUACAUAUCAGAAGACUAGAUUUUCUGUGCUUCUGUAUGUACAGAGAAAAAUUAUUCUUGUGGUAUGAGAUACAAAAUGGUGAACACAUCAUGCAAAUAACUGCCAACUUCUUAGUAAGUACAUGUUUACACCCUCUGCCCCCAACUAUGUCAGGUUGUGACUUGAGGUUGGCUAAAUCAAGCUAUACUGAUACUGCAUGCUACCUGGAAAAACCCAAAGAAUUCAUAUUGUGGCAAUGAACAGCUGAAAUCUGACUAAAAUCUUGGGAGUGUGGCUGUUUAAACAGGUAUUUAUUAGCCAUUAUGGGGAUACACAGCAGUAAAGCCAUAAAUUCAGCUCCUAUUCCUACACGUAAUCCCUGGAAAACAAGGGGUUAGGGUAUGUCAGAGGUGCAUUUCACUUUUGUAAGCACUAGAAUCACUUUAGAGAAAAGUGUGGAAAAAAUAAAGCUUGAAGCAAUAUGUGACUUAGAACAUGUCUUAAACAGCACUUGCUUUUUCUAAUGUUUUGUGUUCUUUAUAUUUAAUUGUACUUGCUAUGACUUUGUACAAGUGAAUAAAAUGGAUUUGGAAAGUUAGUUCGACCAUUUUUUUGAUAAGUGUCAUGGGUCUGAACCUAGCUAAACGUAGUGGUUCACAAUUACAGGAGGGUGACAGCAGUUUUCAUGCAUUUUGUAAGAUGAUACCAGCUAAUUUACCUAUGUUAAAUCUGAAGUUCAGCAGUAAGUAGCUAUGGAUGUACUUAAUGACAUUCCAACGUACACAUUUUAACAGUGGCUUCAUACAUGAAUGGAAAGCUCCCUAGUGCCAGCAAUGUUUGCUAGAAACUUAAUAGAAAUUACUGCUACUAAUAUGUUAGCAUAUUUUACUAAAAAACCUUGGGCAGAACAUUCCAUCCACAAACAGAAAUCAUUUUAUUAGAACUUCCAAUUCUUAUACUGGAAAAAUUGAAAGUUUGUCGUGGAGGGGUAGCCUUUCCUCAGAUUUCUUGUCAAGAGCACACUAUCUUUUAGUGUGGUGUUUGAGCCGUUUUUAGUAUUUGUACUUACUGUUAGCUUUAAUAUUGUCU